rnacentral:rRNA from 1 species
UACGUAGGGGGCAAGCGUUGUCCGGAAUCAUUGGGCGUAAAGAGCGUGUAGGCGGUUCGAUAAGUCGGCUGUGAAAGUCCAGGGCUCAACCCUGGGAAGCCGGUCGAAACUGUCGGACUAGAGUGCAGAAGGGGCAACUGGAAUUCUCGGUGUAGCGGUGAAAUGCGUAGAUAUCGAGAGGAACACCUGCGGCGAAGGCGGGUUGCUGGGCUGACACUGACGCUGAUGCGCGAAAGCUAGGGGAGCGAACGGG